GUACGCCCAAGAGAUCGGGAUAACACCUGGAAACAGAUGCUAAUACCGGAUAACAACAGAUGAUGCCUAUCAACUGUUUAAAAGAUGGUUCUGCUAUCACUCUUGGAUGGACCUGCGGUGCAUUAGCUAGUUGGUAGGGUAACGGCCUACCAAGGCGAUGAUGCAUAGCCGAGUUUAGAGACUGAUCGGCCACAUUGGGACUGAGACACGGCCCAAACUCCUACGGGAGGCAGCAGAC
rnacentral:rRNA from 1 species